rnacentral:lncRNA from 1 species
GGAAGAACAACGCUGGUUAUUGCUCACAGGUUGAGCACAGUUCAGAAUGCAAACCAAAUUGCCCUCUGUUCUAAUGGGAAGAUUGCGGAGUUAGGGACGCAUUCGGAGCUGUUAAGUAGGAGAGGCCAAUAUGCUUCUCUUGUUGGCACCCAGAGACUUGCAUUUGAAUGAUAGUGAAAUAGCAAGAAUCAAACCCUUGCCAUCUCAAACUGCAGAGCCCGUGAUUAUGUGAGUCUUUGGAAGAACCUUCAAAAAUAUAUUCUUUUUCCUUUAGGCUUUAACAAGCACACUCUUCUGGGGGUUUUGGUUUUUUGGUUGGGGGGGUUGUGUGAUUUAAAGGAUGAGAAUGUAAGUGAGAAGUUCCGGGUUCAAGCCUUUCCACUUGCAUUACUUUAAAUAUAAAAAAAAAAAAGCACUCUCUUCUAAAAGCACUUAAUUGCUUUGGUUAAUGGGAAUUUGUUCUGCUAUCUUUAACCAUUGGUUGCAUCUUAUCAAGCAGAGGAUGAGUUAAAGAUUAGAAUAGCUAUGUGAAAUAAAAUUCACAAGCACGGUCAAUAUAGAAUUCAUUCCAUGCUCGAUGCAGUAAUGAUAUAUGGAUUUUUUUUCCCGGCGGCAACUUGUCAGUUCUGUGCACAAUUACGUCUAAUUACUACUUUCGAUAUUGGACAGCUAAUAUUCACAAUCUUGCUUUAUUUAUAAUAGCUGUUUGGAGAUUUUGGAUGACAAGAGGAUUUUGAUGCCUACAUAAACGAGUAUAGCUAAUGCCCAUGAAUUUGGUUGGUGGGCAAUUGAAAUAUGAAUAUUUUAUCACUUCAGAUCAAGUCUGAAUACUUUGCUCGACACAGCUGCGACCAUUCUAAAAUUGGGCCAAAACAAAAACAAAAACCUUUCUGCAAGUCAUCCUGCAUUGUUUCUCCGGCAAAGCUACAAUAAUGUUUUGAUCUUAGGCGAAUAGGUGGAGAGCCUUAUUUGUGUUGAUUAUUGUUUAUUUAGUGGAAACUGAGAUGAUAGCGUUCAACUCGGCAAAGCAUUCAGUCGGAAGGCCAAGGAAUGAAUUCAUAAAGAAGUCGUCAAUCGGUUGAACCAUGGCCACUCCAACUAGCCGGCAUCUUCCUCCUCCGUUUAAGCGCUCACCUCUUCCACUUCUGAUUGUUCCUUCUGACUCUUCAGAUGUUAACACAGUCCCUACCAGCAAAGGUGGAGCUCUAUAAAGCUUCCCAACUGAAAACCAGAAGCUAGCUUUGAACUCAAGCUCCACCUUCAGAAGAACAGCACCAAGUAAUUCUCAGGAAACUACCGAAUUAUAAUACAAAAAAGGAAAGCAAUAGAAGCAGAGGGUCAUAGAAGACUACCUUGCCCGUUUCUUGAUUGAUGCUUCCCCGUAAUAUCUCUGGAGCAAUAUCAAUCCUGAGAAAAGGUGGCAAUGGCAGUCCCAUGAAUCUAGUUGUUGCAGUUGUGAGUGGUGGAAUAUAGAGGGUAUUCAAGUCGAAGUCAACAAAAAUGUCUCCAUCGGAUUCAUUGGAGUCGGUAUUUCUAUUUGUGCCCAUCCCACUACCGCUGCCCCGCUCCGCGUUGUACUCGAAGUCGGGAUAUACGGAGAUACCGAGUUUGCAAGAUGCCAGCGUCUCAAAUUUGAUGUUAUACACGUCCCUUCUUGGUACUUUUGAUUCAGUGAGCUGGGGGGCAGGAAUUGGUUGUUGUCUAUCUAGGUUCUUUUGGGAGGCGACCACAGUUGUCUUGUGUAUUCUAGAUUUUGGUAGAACUAAGGAUGAACUUGAAUAAUUAGGCUUAUGUCGUGGGGAAGUUCUGCAUGUAAGUUGAGGACCUGAGGGGUGAAUUUGACACUCCAUUUGUUUGAACCCUGGUAGAUUGUUGAGCUCUAUAGAGCGGAUGGUGAUGGCGAUGAAGAAAUUACUCUACAGAGCGGAAAGGGAGUUCAUGUGUAAAGCUUAUUUUCUUCUUCUUCCUUUUUUUUUUAUAAAUGAUAUGAUUCCAGAAAAUUAAGAAACAAUUCUGGGGCCGAGGACUUGAUGGAAGCGCAAGGACACCAGCAAUGCACGAGGCUGAUUCUAGUCCACUGACUUGGGAGGAGAUCUUAUCUUUCCGCUUCCGCCCCAAAGAAACGGCAAAGGCAGGAGUGGGACCUUCUUGUUUAUUUGAGGUGAAAAUCAACCGCUCAGAUUCCAGUUUUCAGGAAAAGAACAAGAAAUUCUGAACCCUUUAAUUCUACGUCGCGACACCGGCCCCGUGAAUGCUUGAAACUUCAAUUAGUCCUUGCUCCUUCAACAGAUAGUACAUAACAGAGAGCAAGCAAAUGAGGAAUGUCUCAUUGCUGCUUGUACCUGUCCUGUCCAGCGUAAGCAAAUCAGGAAUUUCUCGUUGCUGCCUACGCUUUCUGGUCGAAAUCAUUUAUUUAACGACAUUGCGGGUUUUUUCCAUCAUAGUUUUCUUGCUCUGUCUCCCAGAAUGGACCCAGUACUGGUUUUGUAGUGGAUGGUGGAUGGCUUGUAUAUUGUCUUUUUCUAGGGCGAAAGAGUGCGAGACUGAUAUUAGAUCCAGGGUAUGGGAGAGGAUCAGAGGAAGAAGAAGGCACAGGAGCUUUCAUGUCUCAAAUCUCUAUUCUCUGACCCUACGAGCACUUCAGUAUUCUGAAGAAAUCCCACUUGACUCACUGGUCCGGCACCAGUAGGCAGCCCUCAUUAGUUAUACCAACUUACACGGGUGUGAUGUCAAUUAUGGAUCUCAGCUUUAGUGCUUAUUACGUAUGUGGGUUGCACUUAUGAAAGCAUCCGACAUGCGCUGGUGCAAUCAAUCCUAGAUUCCAACAACACCAACUCAUAUGAUAUGAUGGGACCAGAUCAAGAUGUCUCCCCCAAUCAUUCAAGAUUCCCCUUGGAUUGGAUCACUACUGAAACUAUACCAAACCAAUAUAUCGAGAAUUUUCAGAGCGCACCACCAAUUCAACCAAUUUAAUUAUGCACACACAAAAUCUUCACCCAAGUGCAUACAUACAGUCCCCUUGCCCUUGUCGAUGAUGGUAAGACUGGAGGACUGUUGGUGCAUUCACGAGUCACCCCACGAUGAUUGAGGAUCAAAUGAGAUGUUAUGUCGGUGACUGAAUUUGAUUAAAACGACUGCCAUUUUCGGCAUCGAGACAGACAGUUUGCUGUCUUAUUCAUGGACCAUCUUGACUGGCUCUCGCUAGGGUCGAUCCAUCUACCAAUGAGGAAUGAGGAUCCUUCUUGGAGCGGGAUUUCACUACUAGCUUCUUUCCCAAACACCCUAAACUGAACUGAAGAAGGCAGGGCAACACAACACAUUAUGACGCCCAAAUUAACAAAUACUACACAUGAGGGAGGCAGGAAGAAAUACAAGCAGUGGAAAUAAAUACUCGUACAAUUAACAGCAAGCGCAACGCUCAGUUUCAUACAAACUUGUGUACUGACUAUUUUAUGAGUUAGGAAAGCUCGUGCAAACUCGUAGACCAUCUCAAACCAGAAUCAGAAUCACGUGGUGUAUUAGUAUUUACAACACGAAUGCUUCUUCGUCUCUCUCUCUUUUUUCUCCUCCCCCCACACCCCCCCCCCGCCCCACCAAAAACAACACAAUAAAACCCAUCUGCAGUUAUCUCUUGUUAUAUUUUUGUACCCAAUUUUCUACAGGAGCCUGUCCUUUUUUCCGUGUCUGUUGGUGAUAAUAUUGCUUAUGGCCUCCCAGAUGAUUAUGUAUCAAAGGAUGAUGUGAUAAAGGCAGCCAAAGCUGCAAAUGCUCAUGAUUUUAUAAUUUCAUUGCCACAGGUUGUCAUUUCGAAUAUGCUUGUUAUCUGUAUAAUUUUGCACAGUUUGUUUAGGUAUUAAAUAUUGAUGCAAUGGACAGGGUUACGACACUCUAGUUGGUGAGCGAGGGGGUCUGCUAAGUGGAGGGCAGAGGCAGGUAAUUAAAAGAUGGUUUGGUGUAUGCUUAUGGUUUGAGAGUUGUUUUACUGAAUACCCCUCACCAAAUUUGCAGAGAAUUGCCAUUGCAAGGGCUCUCCUUAAGAAUGCCCCAGUCCUUAUCCUUGAUGAGGUAUGCUUCUAGGCCAAUCCUAAUGCAUUGUGUGUUGUGUUUUACUUAAGGUAUAGAAAACAGAUACUCAUCCCCCAAGGCCAGUUAACAAACUAAUAUUGGGACAUCUAAGGGUCUGUAUGCCCGAAAGAGAAAGUUGAUCCACCAUAACUUGGGAUCUCAGGGGCUUAAUAUGCAGGAAGACUCAAUUUUUGUAUAUUUGAGAAACCAUAUGCUAGGAUUCCCAGGGCCUCGCAGUCAAAAGAACCUUAUCCAUUGGUUUGCUAUUGCUCAGAAUGGUAAAGGGCUCUUUCAUUUUGAUUGGGAAGUAACUUGGCCUGGAUUGUUAGAUACAUUGCAUUAUCAGCUGCAUUUCAGAUUUAAAGAUAGACAGUUUUACUCUGAACUAUUAACUCUACCUUGUGCUGAAUAAAUCAGUUUAUGCUUAUGCACUGCAGGCUACUAGUGCUUUAGACACAGUUAGUGAGCGCCUCGUCCAGAGUGCUCUGAACCGUCUGAUGAAGGGAAGAACAACGCUGGUUAUUGCUCACAGGUUGAGCACAGUUCAGAAUGCAAACCAAAUUGCCCUCUGUUCUAAUGGGAAGAUUGCGGAGUUAGGGACGCAUUCGGAGCUGUUAAGUAGGAGAGGCCAAUAUGCUUCUCUUGUUGGCACCCAGAGACUUGCAUUUGAAUGAUAGUGAAAUAGCAAUAAUCAAACCCUUGCCAUCUCAAACUGCAGAGCCCGUGAUUAUGUGAGUCUUUGGAAGAACCUUCAAAAAUAUAUUCUUUUUCC